rnacentral:lncRNA from 1 species
CGACUCUGACACGCAAAAACUCAGAGAUGUCUCAUCGCACACAAGAGCUGGAGACGCGGCUGCAGGUGCAGGAGAGUGAACUUAGCACAGCUAGAGAAGAGCAGAGAAGCAGUCAGAAGAGCUGCCACAGGCUGGAAGAACAGCUGCUGUCUUCCCAGCAUGAGUCUGAGAGACUGCAGGAGGAACUGAAGCUGGUUGUUCAGCAGCUUGACACUAACAUCCGGAGAUACAACGAGAAACAGUCUCAGCACAAAACCAAGUUGCGCAGAGCUAAACAGAUCUUCAUGAAGACAGUCACCCAACAUGAACAC